GUAGGGAAUAUUGCGCAAUGGAGGCAACUCUGACGCAGCCAUGCCGCGUGCAGGAAGAAGGCGCUACGCGUUGUAAACUGCUUUUAACCGGGAAGAAACCCCAGGACGUGUCCUGGGUUGACGGUACCGGAGGAAUAAGCACCGGCUAACUUCGUGCCAGCAGCCGCGGUAAUACGAAGGGUGCAAGCGUUAUCCGCAUUCAUUGGGUUUAAAGGGUGCGUAGGCGGAGCGUUAAGUCAGUGGUGAAAUCCUGCAGCUUAACUGUAGACUUGCCAUUGAUACUGGCGCUCUUGAGUGCGCUUGAAGUGGGCGGAAUGUGCCGUGUAGCGGUGAAAUGCGUAGAUAUGGCACAGAACACCAAUUGCGAAGGCAGCUCACUAAGGCGAUACUGACGCUGAGGCACGAAAGCGUGGGGAUCGAACAGGAUUAGAUACCCUGGUAGUCC
rnacentral:rRNA from 1 species